CAGCAGUCGCCACGGUAAAACGGAGGGUGCAAGCGUUAAUCGGAAUUACUGGACGUAAAGCGCACGCAGGCGGUCUGACAAGUCAGAUGUGAAAUCCCCGGGCUUAACCUGGGAACUGCAUUUGAAACUGUCAGGCUGGAGUCUUGUAGAGGGGGGUAGAAUUCCAGGUGUAGCGGUGAAAUGCGUAGAGAUCUGGAGGAAUACCGGUGGCGAAGGCGGCCCCCUGGACAAAGACUGACGCUCAGGUGCGAAAGCGUGGGGAGCAAACAGGAUUAGAUACCCCUGUAGUCCCUGUCUCUUAUAA
rnacentral:rRNA from 1 species